CAAUAAAAGAAAAUUGAAUUUUAAUCACAAUGAAGUGGGGUGAAGACUUUGAAGUGGUGACUUCUGGUGGCACAAUGGUUAAGCACUCUCCUGCUAACUGAAAGGUCAAAGACUGAGUUAUCUAUUCACGCAGAAACAUGAGGCAGUAGAAGAGAGAGAGAUCGUACAUAAUGUUGAUCUGAUCAUCAACAGGAAAGGAUCUACUGAAGUUUGCAAAAGUCAAUGAGACGUUGAGUGUCUUCAUCACUUCAUGCCACUGUUUGCCAAUAGGACUGGGUGCUGCUUGAUGCAAUGAAACUUUUCCUCAAAGAUUCUUGAAAAUUACUGUUGAAUAAGAAGGAUCACCUUAUCCUAAAGUCUCGGGAAGAAAUUGGCAGAAUGCCCUUCCUCCUGAGUUAGGACAGAUGUUAAGCAAUUGAGUCCUUCUCAUUCUUCAU